rnacentral:rRNA from 1 species
GAUGAACGCUGGCGGCGUGCCUAAUACAUGCAAGUCGAGCGAACAGAUGAGGAGCUUGCUCCUCUGACGUUAGCGGCGGACGGGUGAGUAACACGUGGAUAACCUACCUAUAAGACUGGGAUAACUUCGGGAAACCGGAGCUAAUACCGGAUAAUAUAUUGAACCGCAUGGUUCAAUAGUGAAAGACGGUUUUGCUGUCACUUAUAGAUGGAUCCGCGCCGCAUUAGCUAGUUGGUAAGGUAACGGCUUACCAAGGCAACGAUGCGUAGCCGACCUGAGAGGGUGAUCGGCCACACUGGAACUGAGACACGGUCCAGACUCCUACGGGAGGCAGCAGUAGGGAAUCUUCCGCAAUGGGCGAAAGCCUGACGGAGCAACGCCGCGUGAGUGAUGAAGGUCUUCGGAUCGUAAAACUCUGUUAUUAGGGAAGAACAAAUGUGUAAGUAACUAUGCACGUCUUGACGGUACCUAAGCAGAAAGCCACGGCUAACUACGUG